GUCCACGCCCUAAACGAUGUCAACUAGUUGUUGGGGAAGGUAACUUCCUUAGUAACGCAGCUAACGCGUGAAGUUGACCGCCUGGGGAGUACGGCCGCAAGGUUAAAACUCAAAGGAAUUGACGGGGACCCGCACAAGCGGUGGAUGAUGUGGAUUAAUUCGAUGCAACGCGAAAACCUUACCUACCCUUGACAUGCUAGGAACUCUGCUGAGAGGUGGAGGUGCCCGAAAGGGAGCCUAGACACAGGUGCUGCAUGGCUGUCGU
rnacentral:rRNA from 1 species